UUUAUAAACCAUUGAUAGACUGAUAGUGAAAGAAAUUAGUCGACGAAAAAAAAAAAGGAAAAAAAAUCGACGACA
rnacentral:sRNA from 1 species